rfam:Dipodomys ordii contig_31017, whole genome shotgun sequence.
GGUGGCUCAAUGGUAGAGUGCUUGCCUUGCAUGCAUGAGGUCCUGGGUUCAAUUCCUCAGCACCA